rnacentral:rRNA from 1 species
GACGAACGCUGGCGGCGUGCCUAAUACAUGCAAGUAGAACGCAGUUGCGAACGGGUGAGUAACGCGUAGGUAACUGCCUCAUAGCGGGGGAUUACUAUUGGAAACGAUAGCUAAUUCCGCAUACUUUGAGAUGGACCUGCGUUGUUUUAGAUAGUUGGUGAGGUAAAGGCUCACAAAGGCGACUAUACAUAGCCGACCUGAGAGGGUGAGCGGCCAAAAUGGGAAUGAGAAAAGGCCCAGAAUCCGAAGGGAGGCAGGAGUAGGGAAUGGUCGGCAAUUGAGGGAAGGCUGAACGAGCAAAGUGGCGGGAUUGAAGAAGGUUUUCGGAUCGUAAAGCUAUGUUGUUAGAGAAGCGGUAACGAACCAGAAAGGGACGGCUAACUACGUGCCAGCAGCCGCGGUAAGUC